rnacentral:rRNA from 1 species
UAAUACUUGGGCAAUCUGCCCUUGAGUGGGAAAUAACCCGCCGAAAGGCGGGCUAAUGUCCCAUAAGACCACGGGAUGGCAUCGUCCAGGGGUCAAAGCUCCGCAAGGGGCGCUUGAGGAGGAGCCCGAGUCCUAUCAUGGUAGUUGGUGAGGUAACGGCUCACCAAGCCUUUGACGGGUAGCCGGCCUGAAAGGGUGAUCGGCCACACUGGCACUGAGACACGGGCCAG